UUUAAAUGUAGCCAUGAGUUUUCGUGUUUAACUUUGAUCGACCGUCUUAUUUAAAUUUUUUUAUGAUUAAUAUUUUUGUUAUUAUUAGAUGAUAAAACAUGAAUAAUGCUUUAUGCGUGACCUAUGUUUUUUAUUUUUUUAAAAAAAAAUUAAAUUGACGAAUAAUUAAAUUUAGACACAGAAACUUAUGUCUGCGCUCAAA
rfam:Oryza glumipatula chromosome 5, whole genome shotgun sequence.